rnacentral:ncRNA from 2 species
AAUAAUAUAUAUCUCCGAGCUGUUCUCGCCUAAAGCACGUCCAUGGGGGAAUAGCCGACAGGCCUUACGGGAAACUGUAAUACCUCCCUGAUUGGAAAGGAGAAACAUGGCAAAUUCA